rnacentral:tRNA from 1 species
GCCCGAGUGGUGAAAUGGUAGACACGAAGGACUCAAAAUCCUUUGCCCUCAAACGGCGUGCCGGUUCGAGUCCGGCCUCGGGCA